rnacentral:rRNA from 1 species
AAACUUAAAUGAAUUGACGGGGGCCCGCACAAGCAGCGGAGCAUGUGGUUUAAUUCGAAGCAACGCGAAGAACCUUACCUAGACUUGACAUCCCCUGAAUUACCUGUAAUUAGGGAAGCCCUUCGGGGCAGGGAGACAGGUGGUGCAUGGUUGUCGUCAGCUCGUGUCGUGAGAUGUUAGGUUAAGUCCUGCAACGAGCGCAACCCUUAUCAUUAGUUGCUACCAUUAAGUUGAGCACUCUAGUGAGACUGCCCGGGUUAACCGGGAGGAAGGUGGGGAUGACGUCAAAUCAUCAUGCCCCUUAUGUCUAGGGCUACACACGUGCUACAAUGGUGAGUACAGAAAGAUGCAAGACCGUGAGGUGGAGCAAAACUUUUAAAACUCAUCUCAGUUCGGAUUGUAGGCUGAAACUCGCCUACAUGAAGCUGGAGUUGCUAGUAAUCGCGAAUCAGCAUGUCGCGGUGAAUACGUUCCCGGGCCUUGUACACACCGCCCGUCACACCAUGAGAGCUGGCAACACCCGAAGUCCGUGAGGUAACCGUAAGGAGCCAGCGGCCGAAGGUGGGGUUAGUAAUU